rnacentral:rRNA from 1 species
UACAGAGGUCUCAAGCGUUGUUCGGACUCAUUGGGCGUAAAGGGUGCGUAGGUGGCGCUGUAAGUCGGGUGUGAAAUUUCGGAGCUUAACUCCGAAACUGCAUUCGAUACUGCGGUGCUUGAGGACUGGAGAGGAGACUGGAAUUUAUGGUGUAGCAGUGAAAUGCGUAGAGAUCAUAAGGAAGACCAGUGGCGAAGGCGGGUCUCUGGACAGUUCCUGACACUGAGGCACGAAGGCCAGGGGAGCAAACGGG